rnacentral:rRNA from 1 species
UACGUAGGGGGCAAGCGUUGUCCGGAAUCAUUGGGCGUAAAGCGCGCGUAGGCGGCCCGGUAAGUCCGUUGUGAAAGUCAAAGGCUCAACCUUUGAACGCCGAUGGAUACUGCCGGGCUAGAGUCCGGAAGAGGCGAGUGGAAUUCCUGGUGUAGCGGUGGAAUGCGCAGAUAUCAGGAGGAACACCAUAGCGAAGGCAGCUCGCUGGGACGGUACUGACGCUGGAGGCGCGAAAGCGUGGGGAGCAAACAGG